GACGAACGCUGGCGGCGUGCUUAACACAUGCAAGUCGAACGCUGAAGCUCAGCUUUUGUUGGGUGGAUGAGUGGCGAACGGGUGAGUAACACGUGAGUAACCUGCCCCCUUCUUUGGGAUAACGCCCGGAAACGGGUGCUAAUACUGGAUAUUCACUGGUCUUCGCAUGGGGGUUGGUGGAAAGGGUUUUUCUGGUGGGGGGUGGGCUCGCGGCCUAUCAGCUUGUUGGUGGGGUGAUGGCCUACCAAGGCUUUGACGGGUAGCCGGCCUGAGAGGGUGACCGGUCACAUUGGGACUGAGAUACGGCCCAGACUCCUACGGGAGGCAGCAGUGGGGAAUAUUGCACAAUGGGCGCAAGCCUGAUGCAGCGACGCCGCGUGAGGGAUGGAGGCCUUCGGGUUGUGAACCUCUUUCGCUCAUGGUCAAGCCGCAACAAUGGUUGUGGUGAGGGUAGUGGGUAAAGAAGCGCCGGCUAACUACGUG
rnacentral:rRNA from 1 species